CUCACCUCUCUCACAAUUUUCCCUCACAUCUUUUCUUUUUCUCUCUCUCUCUGACACACACACCUCACUUUCCCGGGCACUUUCCACUCCGUCACGUCACUCCCUCUCUUUCCACUCAUCUCUCGCUUCCCUCCUUCAUUUUUCUGAAGUUCCUCUCUCUAAUUCUCUCUAACUCUCACUCUCUCCAGAGCUCUGAGAGCUCUCGUCCCCUUUCCUCUUUGAAAUUUAAACAAACCAAACUCCAAAACCAUGAAACCUUAAUCUCUGGGACUAGAGGAUCCUACCUAGACCGUUGCAUGCGUCAUUGGACCAUCACGGUGUAAACCACCAUUGAAGCCGAGAGCUUCAAGCUCUGAAACUCGAACCCAGUUUUUGGUCACCUCCUACGAGCAAACUCCGGCAAGUUUGUGUGCUCUGGAGCUCCUGCUUAGUUUGAAUCCAUUCCAGAAUCCGGCGAAGAAACCCGGCCCUUACAGGCCAUUUUCCGGCCAAAUGCGACCACGGACGAGAACCCCAAUGGUACAAACUUAUUCAGUUUGACGAAUGACAAGGCAUAUCGAGAGCAAGCAAGUUAUGGGAUUUUAGUGGCAGAGGUUUUGUGAUGAGGAGGAUUGCUCUGACAUCAAUUGUGUGAUAUGAGUUCAAUCUCAUUCAUAUAAAGUUUGAUCAUAUAUCCCAGAUCCUCUCUUAUUUUCAUUACCCGGGCAAUCCCAUCUCGAGAAGCUUGCUUCAUUGCCCAAAUAUAAUCCAGCAGCUUCUGCUAACUUCACCAUUUUCCACUCACUGAAAGGAUACGAUGUCUUGUGUCACAUGAAUUUCUCCCCUUGCAGAUCAGCGAACCCCCAAACCAACUUCUGAUGAACCUGAAUAAUGCAGGAUUUUAGUUUAAAGAUGCAUCCCUUUAAAAAUUAAGUCUCACUUGAAUGAAUAUUAUUGCAUUAGCCCAUCACAUAUUUGAUCCCUCUCUCGCAAUAUGUGCAUGUAUAGGACUUCUCCUUUCCAGUUCUGCUACCAGCAUGGUUGCAACUUAUCUGGUAGCGGAACUGGAAAGGAGAAGUCUCCUUCUCCGACAAAGAGUAUCUUCUGGGAGCUGCUGGAAUGCUUGAUCCUUUUGUCCAAGCUAAACAAUUCCAUUUUCUUGCCUUUAACUUACUCGAAACUUGCUAGCUACAUCCAAAGGCGAAUCACACUACUCGAAACUUUCUCCGAAUUGUUUUUCUGUUCUUUUCUGAGACUAAAACUGUUCGAGCAUUUUUUUUUUCUCCAGUAAUCUUGCUAGCUACGUCCAAAGGUGAAUCGCACUACUUAAUUAUACAAGAGUGGCAAGCUAGGGGGCAACAUUUAUGAUUCCUAAUCGAAAGGUCUCUCUCUUAGUUUUCUUUCCCAGUCUUUAUGUUCCAUGUAGUUUUACUUCUCUAUCUGUGGCAUUCAUGACCACUAAACAUUACUUAAUUUUUGUGAAUUCAUGCACCUUAUCUGAUUUAAAUACUCAAAAUUACGAGAUACUACAAUCAUGUUACUGAAACAAAUCUUAAAACAAUGAAGGGAAGGAAAAAAAUUGGCACGCGAGAUGACAAAUUUUCCUAAAAUAUACAAAUGGUUCGUCUGACUAUAAAUUUUCAACGCGACUCACAAACAGACCAUAACUAGUUACGAAAGUUCAACCUGCCUCCAAACUACUAAUCAUGUGUUGUUUAUGAAUUUAUAUUUGUUGAGUUUUGUCCAAAUUCUAAAUAUAUUUUCUUCUUCCAAUCCCAUG